CCCAUUCAGGUGGUACUGACUGAUGUGACGGAUGUGUAACUUAAGUUAAGGAGAAUUGAUCCAAGUGCAUCCAACUGAAAAAUGCAUGUAUCAGUAUUAUUCAGCAUGUGGGCAGAGGUGAAAGCAUUUAUUAAAAAGAAGAAAACUCAGCUUUACCUUUCACCAUGCAGUCUGAUAGAAAAUUAAUUGGCAG